GUUACAGCUGAAUUCAUACAUGUUAGUACUUUAUUGUAAGUGCUAUAUCAUUAAUUCAAAAGCACAGUAUCUUUAAAAAAAGCCUUAAGUAAUUAGUAAUCAUUUAUAUUUGAAUUAUCUGAUGAUUGAUUCUGAUAUCUUAGAUUUCUUAAAUUGCUAAUAUAUUAUAAUUAUUUCAAAUUAGUUACAAACAUUUACAACAUGAGACUCUUUGGUGUUGGUGUGAAAUAAUAAUUCUGGAAUAACAGACUUAACAAUGACUGAGCAGUCAGACAAUUCCUUUCUGGACUUCGUUUCCUUCUAAACUGUCUGUAAAUU
rnacentral:lncRNA from 1 species